rnacentral:rRNA from 1 species
UUUAAAUUGCUGUGGUAUUUUGACUAUACGAAGGUAUUGAAAUAAGGUUUUAAAUGGGCGCUAAGAGAAUGAUUUAACAAUUAGAAUCUUUCUUUAAUUUAAAAAUUGAAUUUAAUUUUUUUGUGAAGAAGCAAACAUUUUUAUUAGGGACAAGAAGACCCUAUGAAUUUUAUAUUUAUUGUACAUUAUUUAAUGUUUAAAUAAAUUUAAUUGGGGCGAUAUAAAAAGAAUAUAUAUCUUUAUUUUUUUAAAAAAAAGUUCCGUUAUUAACGAUUAAAUGAAAAAAAUACUCUAGGGAUAACAGCGUAAUAAUUUUGGAAAGUUCAUAUUGAUAAAAUAGUUUGCGACCUCGAUGUUGGAUUAGGAUUCUUUU